ACAGUAUAGUUUUAGGUAGAACACAUCACCCACCUGAGAUCAAGGUUAGCGAACGGCGAAUCUAAUGGAGAAACCAUAAGCACUAAAUAUGCAGAAUUAUUGUAUCGGUCUGCACAUCACCCAUUCGAGAACUAAUAUGUGUUUUGUUCACGCAACAAGAGCAUACAUAUAAGAAAUAUUGGCCUUUCAGGAAUAUUCCACCGGUACUGUCUCCGCUCACACAGAAGAACGGAUGAUUAAAUCCUGGUGUCAAGGCCAACGAACUCCAAGAAGAACAUUGGGUGUUACAGAUACAAGGUUUGGUAUGUACUCAUGUGUAACUAUUUUGUUGUGUUGUAAUUUUUCGAUCAAUUCCUACGGGCAGUAAGCUUAACCUUUGCGAGCAUUCAGUUCUGAUUUAGGCUACAUCUUAUUCUUAGAGGAUUUUUGUUCCAUCAGUGCAUGUUGCAAACAUGACCAUUCAUGCAUAUUUUUGGCGGAUAAUCAACUGGCAGCGUAUUUGUGAAUGAAUAAUAAUAAUCGUAAGCUGGCAUUUUUAUGAUAAAUAUGGAAGGAGGUGGUCAUGCCUGAUGUGUUACUAUCCUACCUAGGUUAGGUGUUUAGGCUCAUGUCAUAUUGUGUUGGUGUGUACGCUGGUGGGAUCUGUGUACCCAAUUGAGUUAUUAUCGAGAAGGCCUGGCGUUUUGAAAGCAUGUCUGAGCUCUUUCCUAUGAACAUGCGAGUUACCGCGGGUAUGUAGUUUCGAUGCAAGAUUACGAUUUGGCGUGUUGCAGCCCAAUCAGGGAUGUUGGGUUCUGACUUUCUGCCCUGUGAUGAGUGUAGCUGCAAAGCAUUACAAGAAGGAUCUGGGUGCAUGUGUUCCAAAGGUAAAUGUGGUGGCAAGAAUG